rnacentral:rRNA from 1 species
GUAGUGACCUGCGGAGGAUCACUA